UACGUAGGGCGCAAGCGUUGUCCGGAAUUAUUGGGCGUAAAGAGCUCGUAGGUGGCGUGUCGCGUCUGCCGUGAAAGCCCAUGGCUUAACUGUGGGUCUGCGGUGGAUACGGGCAGGCUGGAGGCUGGUAGGGGCAAGCGGAAUUCCUGGUGUAGCGGUGAAAUGCGCAGAUAUCAGGAGGAACACCGGUGGCGAAGGCGGUUCUCCGGGCCUUACCUGACGCUGAGGAGCGAAAUCAUGGGGAGCGAACAGG
rnacentral:rRNA from 1 species